rnacentral:rRNA from 1 species
ACACAUGCAAGUCGAGGGGUAAGUCCCGCUCCGGCGGGAACACGACCGGCAAACGGGUGAGUAACGCGUAUGCAACCUGCCUGUAACCGGGCCAUAGCCCCGAGAAAUCGGGAUUAAUAACCCAUAUUAUCCCUUAGUCGCCUGACUUCGGGAUGAAAGCUCCGGCGGUUACAGAUGGGCAUGCGUGACAUCACCUUGUUGGUGAGGUAAUAGCUCACCCAGGCGACGAUGUCUAGGGGGUCUGAGAGGAUGAUCCCCC